UACGUAGGGGGCUAGCGUUGUCCGGAAUCAUUGGGCGUAAAGCGCGUGUAGGCGGUCCGGUAAGUCCGCUGUGAAAGUCGGGGGCUCAACCCUCGGAUGCCGGUGGAUACUGUCGGGCUAGAGUCCGGAAGAGGCGAGUGGAAUUCCUGGUGUAGCGGUGGAAUGCGCAGAUAUCAGGAGGAACACCAAUAGCGAAGGCAGCUCGCUGGGACGGUACUGACGCUGAGGCGCGAAAGCGUGGGGAGCGAACAGG
rnacentral:rRNA from 1 species